GACGAACGCUGGCGGCGUGCUUAACACAUGCAAGUCGAACGGAAAGGCCCCUUUGGGGGUACUCGAGUGGCGAACGGGUGAGUAACACGUGAGUAACCUGCCCUUGACUUCGGGAUAACUUCAGGAAACUGGGGCUAAUACCGGAUAGGAAUCCUUGCUGCAUGGUGGGGGUUGGAAAGCUUCGGCGGUUUUGGAUGGACUCGCGGCUUAUCAGCUUGUUGGUGGGGUAGUGGCUUACCAAGGCUUUUACGGGUAGCCGGCCUGAGAGGGCGACCGGCCACAUUGGGACUGAGAUACGGCCCAGACUCCUACGGGAGGCAGCAGUGGGGAAUAUUGCACAAUGGGCGGAAGCCUGAUGCAGCAACGCCGCGUGCGGGAUGACGGCCUUCGGGUUGUAAACCGCUUUCAGCAGGGGCGAAGCUUUUGUGACGGUACCUGCAGAAGAAGCACCGGCUAACUACGUG
rnacentral:rRNA from 1 species